AAUCAACGCUGGCGGCGUGCCUCAGACAUGCAAGCCGAACGAUUAAAGCUCUCUUCGGAGAGUGUAUAGAGUGGCGCACGGGUGAGUAACACGUAAGUAAUCUACCCUCGAGUGGGGAAUAACAACCGGAAACGGUUGCUAAUACCGCAUAAUGCAGCGGCACCGCAAGGUGACAGUUGUUAAAGAUUUAUCGCUUGAGGAGGAGCUUGCGGCAGAUUAGCUAGUUGGUAGGGUAACGGCUUACCAAGGCUACGAUCUGUAACCGGUCUAAGAGGACGGUCGGUCACACUGACACUGAAUAACGGGUCAGACUCCUACGGGAGGCAGCAGUCGGGAAUUUUGGGCAAUGGGCGAAAGCCUGACCCAGCAACGCCGCGUGAAGGAUGAAGUAUUUCGGUAUGUAAACUUCGAAAGAAUAGGAAGAAUUAAUGACGGUACUAUUUAUAAGGUCCGGCUAACUACGUG
rnacentral:rRNA from 1 species